rnacentral:piRNA from 1 species
UGUACUAAAUGUGCACUAUCCAACAUUCC